rnacentral:rRNA from 1 species
UACGAAGGGGGCUAGCGUUGCUCGGAAUCACUGGGCGUAAAGCGCACGUAGGCGGGUUGCCAAGUCGGGGGUGAAAUCCUGGAGCUCAACUCCAGAACUGCCUUCGAUACUGGCGAUCUUGGAGUCCGGGAGAGGUGAGUGGAACUGCGAGUGUAGAGGUGAAAAUUCGUAGAUAUUCGCAAGAACACCAGUGGCGAAGGCGGCUCACUGGCCCGGUACUGACGCUGAGGUGCGAAAGCGUGGGGAGCAAACAGG